ensembl:lncRNA
GUUUUUUUUAAUUCUAGGAAAAUUUACAGCAGAGUGAAGAACUCUUCUUGAGUAUUUGCAGUAAGAUUUUAAGACAAGUAUGAAGACAAUGUGGUUUAUCAUCCAAAAUAUAUUUUAUGAUUUCUACAUGUGUUGAAAAAGAAAGAGUACAUUUUACAAAUGAAAAGAAAAAAAGAAAAAAAAAAAAGAAUGAGAAUAAUGAGACUGUCCAUAUAUUUGGAAAGUCUUAAAUGACACUGAAAUGUAACAUUUCUCUUUUAAGGAAAUUUAGGACAGAAAAAAUGGAAUUUUUUUUUUUACUACACAUAGACACUGAAAUGAACUGGACUUUGGUAUCUACAUAUUUUUGUAAAGUGUUGCCCUAAGGAGUGAAAGUCCUAUUGAUUUUCAGUGAGCCAGUCACUUAAAUGCUUUUGAAAAUUUUACCCUCCGGUUAAAAUUCUGAAACUCCUACUCAAUGUUAAACAGGCAAAGUCCCAUCAGCAUGCCCCAGUUGCAAAUAAAACAGAAACUGAAUAAAGGUUUUGAAGUCUGACUUGUUUCUUUAUGUGUAAUUACCUGAACUCUUAAUAUAUCACUAUGUUUCAGUAAACUGCUUUGUGUUUCUAAUUAUGUGGUCUGAAAUGAUUACAGUGUAUUUAAAAAAUGCACACUCUACUACAAACCAGCAAAGAAAAUCUGGCACAGUGUCAGGAUUUCCAAGGCAAACACUUGCCAAACCUGUUGUUAGAUCCAAAGUCGUAAUUUAAAAACAAGCCUACGAGGUAUCUGGAAGAAGAUCCCUCUUUCCUUCCUUCUGCUCCAUCUCCCACUCCCUUUACAAGGAAAUCAUUUUACGUUAUCAAAACAGAACACUUAAUGACAUUUGUCUCCUGGUAGGAAACUUGUCUCUGCUACGUUCAGAUUUUAGUUUUGACUAGUGCACAUUCUUGUUCAAGAAAAAAGUUAUCUUCACUAAGAAUGAUAGUGUCCAAAUUCUUCAAUCAGAUAAACAUGCGCAACUCCCUGCUGAAAUUAAGGAAGUUCCUGAGGGCAAAACCUGGCCCCAAAUUAGAAUUUUAAUAAUUGCAAUACUGUGUAAUCCUUUCCCUGCCAAGAGACAAAAAUGGCCCAUCCUGCACAAAAAAUUCGCAGGUUUACCACACACUUGGUAUCAGGGUUUCACCCAUAAACCACAAUAUAGUUGAUCAAAAUCUAGAGAGUUUAUUUUAUUAAAAUUAAUCCAUCUGAUAUGAUGGUGCAUUCAUACAGUACUGAGAAUUUCUUAUUUGCAGAUGUGGGAUCUGCUAUAAUCCAGCAAAUGUUUUCACUUUAUCACCCCAGACACUGUGUUUUAACCAUUGGGAAGUAAUCUUAAUUAAAAUGGAAAUCUGUCUCUUUCUUAAAGGGUCUAUCUUGAUGUAUUGGUUUUUACGCUUGGCUACUGAGAGUAUUUCUUUCCUAUCAGAAAUUAAUUUUACCUAUUUUUUUUUUUUUAGUUUCACCUAUUUUUUUUUUAAAUCCCAAACUUUCAUGCAAUAAAUGAAUGAAUCAGUCUGAAUGAAAUUAAGACACAGGACCAAGAAUCAUCUGACUACACAGGCACUACAGCCCAUUCCAGACUUCUUUUCCAGCAAUUUCAUAACCUUGAAUUCACAUGUAAAAAGAAAACAUAACAGGAAGAGCUGAUUGAGAUCUCAGUGGAAUGCUCUAGAAUCGCUUUUAAAAUUAUAUUUACUGAACUAAAGCUUAGUAAAACUUAAUUUGACUGCAAAACCUUAACUAAUAGAGUGGAAAAAUGCACAGUGAGAGUUAAGUUUCCAAAAUUCUAGGGCUAAGUGCCUAAUAGUUUUUAGGUGUUUUUAGAGUGAAAACAUUCUGUUGUUGCAGUUGAGUCAUACCACUCACAAAUAUAACACGUAGAAACACAUGCUCAGUCUGUUUGGUGAAGAGUGUGAAAAAUGUUAUUGACAUGAAGUUGAGAGGUGGGAAUGAAUAUUCAGUACAUUCCACCCAUUCUCCAGGUUCUAUGUAAAAUUUAAUAUCAAAACACUUCAGGGAAGAACAAGAAUGGCAAUUCUUUGCAGCCAUAAAUGUCAAGAUUUCAAAAUCUUUUCUUCAAUCCAAGUCAGAAAAAAAUCUUCACAUUCUGAGUCUCCUUAUGGAAGAAAAUUCAGAGAAAGAAGAAAAUCUAGCCAUAUUUUUAUCUUUUCUUUGAUUAAUCAUGACUUUUAAUAGUGGCAGUUCACCAGCAAUAGGAUAAUCCCUGCCUUAGGUUUUAAAGGAUUAUUUAUCUCAUCUUAUCUAAGCUUAGAAGUCACUUAGUAUGCCUUCAUGGUAAUAAAUAAUUAUUAGCAGUACUUGCUUCACAGAGUUUUAAGCAAAACAAUCCUCUAGCCUGAAGUGCAGUGGGAUUUCAGUUUUCAUUUAAUGCUCCGUAUAGCUAUAUGGUCACAACAAAUCAGUGCUUUGAAUUAAAAUUUAGUUAAAGUUAUAUGGUUACAAAACAACUUAACAAUGAAGCCACUGUCAGCAGAGAUAAUCAGCAGUGAUUAUUUUAAUAUUACGACUUCUUUGAAGAUUAAACCUUGCCCACACUGCUCAAAACUGGCCAUAACAGUAGCUCUUGUCACUGUUUCACCUCACAUCCCUGUCCAGGAACCAAACAGGAUCAACAACAAACACAUGUUACACAAUAUUCAAAACCUUAACUAUUUAUGCCUGUAACCUUCAGGCAACUAAGACAUUCUUUUUCCAAUGCAAAGCAUGGUUGUUGUGACCGACAUUUAUUUUGGGACUUCAGUCUUUAGUCUUUGCAAUGACAAACUGGUUUAGAUGACUUAUAAACAGUAUUCAAGAAAGGAAAUGUCAGAACAUUCUGUUUGUUCACUUGGCCUUUCUGCAAUUCUUCAGAGCUUUUCAAAGAGUUGCUUUUCUAAAAUGUAUCUUAGCAUGGGAAUGUUAGAAAAAUAAAGCUUUCAUAACUGUCAACAUCUGAGUUUGUUUUUCAGGAGGAAUAUCUCCAAUAAAUUUUCACUCUGAAAAAAAACAGAGUAGUGUCCUUCCUUCUUGGAGUUUUCAUCUAAAAUGUAGCUCUCAUCUCACAUCUUCAUGCCUGCCUGAUUAGAACAACAAAACACUUUUUACUGUAAAUGGAAAAUUCUGCAGGUGAAAAUUCCUGGCCUGAUUCUUCCCUAAUGGUAACCAGACUGGCCUCCUGUAAGUCUUGGAGAUGCCUAUUUACUUUGUAGGGCUGGAUGUAUCAAGCUGCCUUGGUAUAAAUAGCCAGUAAGAGAUAGUAUUUUGUUUAAUUUUUGUUUUUUCUCAUUACAUGCUACCUUUGCUACCUCUUAGGAGGGUAGUACUAUGAAAUCUUGUCUUCUAGCCUCCCUUCAGAGUUUUGCCUCACAGAUGCUCAUUUCCAUCCACCUCUUGCACAGCUGAAUGGAAUUAGCGCUCCAUGCCGACUCCCUCCUUUUUCCAUUGCAAACUCUGGCAAGCUGUUGGAGCAUGAGAGGUGUGAUAACAACUGCCUGGCAUUCCUGUGUCUGUCCACCUGGUUCCUCUGUGCGGGAAGCACAUUUAGCAACCAAAAGAAGAGGCAGAGUAUUGGGACUGUGUAUCUCCUGAGAUUUUUUUUUUCACAAUUGAAUUUUCAAGGAAGGAAAAGAAUUUGAAGUACAUAUAAAAGCUGCAUACUUGCACAAUGUUAGAAAAGAGCCAGUAGAUCAGGCAGGUCCAGGAGGAAAUUUGGGGACAUAAUUAAUAAAUUUGGUAUUCUGAGGAGAUUCUCUUAACUAGUAGGUAGCAAUGCAUUUUGCACCCAUUUAUAUAAAAUCAUUUGUGAAAGACAAUUUUAGAUGUUUCUGUUAUUCUAUGAAAGUACCUGUUUACUGUAGAGUUCCUUACAACAGUGAAGAAGUAUAUCUAUGAUGGCUUUCUUACUUUAUGCAAAUCACAUAAAGGAAAACUAGUUAAAAAUUACUUAUAUAUAGCAUCAUUUUUACAUUUUGUAGGUGUAGAGGAUGUUAGUAAAUGUCUCAGCUCAAAUGCCUACCUGAACUUUGAGGUUUUUCCCUCUCUAGCUGAUAUAAAGUUUCACAUUUAUAUAUUUACCACAUUUAUAUACGUAGUCGGUUUUAAAUUGCGCAUAAAAUAGAUGUCUUUUGCUCCUUUUAACAAAUAAUAUAGAGAACUGAAAAGAGGACCUCUUACACAGAAUAAACAUUUUUGUUAUGCUCAACCCAAGUCAUAAUUCUUGUAGACAUAGUAUCAGUGCUGGAGUGAAUUUAUUAAUUAAUGACUUUCUCUGUUGUAAAGCAAGGAAAGUUGUUAUUUUAUUACAAUUAAUUCGAUCAACAAGUAUAAACAAGACCAAAUGAUAUAAUGGUUACUAAGGGCAGAGGAAUACAUGGCAUGAAAUGUGUUUUAUUGUACAUUCUAGAAAACACUUUCAAAAAAAAAUCUGUUUAAGAUACAUUAUUUGAUUUUUAAACUGUCACAAGGAAGAGCCAUGCAUGCUUUUUGCUUCAGCAUUAGGGAUCCAAUCUGAACCUUGCUGAAGUCACUGGAAGUCCUUCAAUCAUCUCACGGGGAGUUGUGUUUAAAGCCUCCAUGCAGUAAUAUACUCACCAAGGGAGAAGCUGUCCAAGUUCUGAUGAUCUGUGUUCUGAGGUUCUGAGUAUGCACUUUAAAAUAACCCAAAACAUCUUUCCAAUAGGUGGCACAUGAGAUUUCACCGUCUAAAAUGUAAAUACAGCAAUGAUAUGUCACCACCAGCUCAGAAAGCUCUUAGGUAACAAGUUUGGACUUAAAGAUCAAUAUAAAAUUUAAUUGUCUAUAUGCAGCAAUCAGAAUGGUCUUUUUACUAGCUUUGACUCAAUUAGCAUUAGAUUCACAUUUCCAUGUUAAAAAGAAACAUUCAUCAUAUUUAUGAAUAGCAUGGUUAUAAAAAUUUUGAUUUAUCCAGCUUGUUUAAAUAGUUUACAUCUUUUCAUUGUUUCCAUUACUUUAUGUUUAUUACUACUGUCAGCACACUUGUGCUAAUUAUACUCAUUCCAAGUACUCAUUCCAAACAUCUGAGGGAGAACUUUAUUCAUUCUUCCUUUUAGAAGUGUAGUCUGUUUUGAGGUCAUUAGUGAAUGUAUCGUAUCCUUCCCCCCCAAAUAUGCAUUGUUUCCUAUGGGCAUUCAACACUGAGGCUCCAAUUUCAACCUCAUGUCACAUGCAGUAAUGCCACUGCAAAAAAAAAAA